rnacentral:snoRNA from 1 species
GGAAUAUUUUCAGGAAGAUGAUUCAAUCGUUUAGUUGUACAUCUUUAAUAAUUAUUCCUAGAUAACAAAUUCGUCGGAGUAUUACAUAUUUCGCAAAUGGACAUUAGCUUCAUUUGGGUGUUGAUUUUAUUUCGUACA